GACUGGUCUCUUCCUGCAGGCCGCAGAAUGGUUUGGAAAGGCGCUUUUCUGAAUAAUAGUCCAAUCCCUCAUGUUUUCGUCAUAUAAAUUACGGGCAGCAGAGCUCGGUGACACCCGGGCGGGAGGCCCCGCGCUGGCCGCGGCGACCAUCCCCCGGCAGAAACUGUUGCCCACCCGGCUUUCCGCAGAGCUGUGACCUGGGGCCCCAGACCCCUCCAUCCUCCCCACGCUCCCGGAACCCCUUUGUCCCCGCUUCCCAGUCGGGGACGACCCUCCCAGGAGCCCUGUGGCCGCGCGCUUUUUCUUCCUCUCUGGGACGGAAGCGGAGCCUGGGGCGCUCUGGCGCAGACCCUGAGGAAUCGUGACUCUUGGUGGCUGGCUUCGUACUGUUACAUUGUAUUUUACUUAUUUUUAAAACUGAGGGUGGCCGGAGACAAAGUAGAAAAGGAAGACGAUCCCGCCUCCUCCCAGAAUGAAGAGUGAGGAUUCUUCAUCUCUGCAACAAACAUUUUAUUGAACAUCUACCAGGUGUGACACAGGUGUGGUACCUGGCAUGUAGUAGGAACUCAACAAAUCCAGCAAGGAACUGAAGCCUCCUACCAACAGCCAUGUGUGUGAGCCAUCUUUCAAACAGAUCUUCCAGCUUCACUCAAGUCUUCCAAAGACGAUAGCCCCACCUGAGAUCUUGACUGCAAUACCCAGAACCAGAACUGCCCAGUGAAGCUGCUCCCAAAUUCCUGACCUACAGAAACUGUGCGAGAUAAUAAAAGUUUAUUGUUUUAAGUUGUUAAGUUUUGGGGAUAAUGUGUUGUGUAGCAAUAGAUAACAAACAUUCCCUCACGUAAAAUUAUGCGUCCUCAGAACAGAAUAAUUAGUUUGUGUUUAUGGUGGGUGUUUAGGUAUAUUGGUAACCAUCGGAAGCCUGGCAGUAAUCGCUAGGAGGCUGAUGACUGAGGCCACUCUUGCUCCCUUACCCAGAGGCUGGCAUUAUCCUCAGGCAGGAUGACUUUGAAGGCCAGGCGUUGGUGUGGUGGCCAUCUUUGGGCCUUCUAGUCCUGAUCUGUUGUUAGAUUGCCUGCAUUCCCUGUCGAGGUCUUAGUUAGGUUAGCUCAAGGCCAGGGAGUGUCCUUCCAGAAGAAGACAUACAACACACAAGCAGUUUUGCAUUGAGGACUGGACCUCGGUUCAUGGAGAUGAGGCAUUGGCCACAUCUUUAGCCUUGCUUGGAGAUGGACUGGGGCAAAAUAAUUUAUCGUUUCUCCCUGUCAUGUGUCCCCAUUCCCACCCAAUCCCUGGUUGUGUGUGAAGUUUUGGUGCUGGGUUGGGAAGGGGAAAGAAUUGAGAGGGAAGUCGGAAAUUAUUUUAAUUGUACAGCUUAUGAAAUCUCUGUAAAAUCUCCAUCUUUCCACCAGGACAUGGCCUGACU